rnacentral:lncRNA from 1 species
CCAGGAAGGGUCAGAAUCAUCUGCAGUUUUCAUCUGGAUCACCAGCUGUCAUUCUGCAUAUCCUACUUACCUCAAGGGGCAGCUUCAGUCUUGGAAACAGAAAAUCCUAAGAUGUUGUUGCCACUUGAUCCAACUGGAAAAUACUGGCGUUUACAUUCUUGUUUUACAGAUGCAGAAAGCAAUAUUUAACUGAUCAGCUGCCACUCACAUCAUGAAUCAGAAGCAGCCUUAAAAGAAAGGAUCCCUUCUUGCUAUUUUGAAGGUGAAAUAUGAUCUUCUAUCUAGUGACUGAAAUUGUAUGUUGAGAUGAACGAGGGCCUCAGGGGUUGGGUAAUCAUUGAGGAAUAACGAAAUACUUUGGACUUGAGCUAUGUGGGUAGCCGAUUGAAUUAUGCAA